rnacentral:lncRNA from 1 species
AGACCUCCACAUGGGAGUUAGGAUAUUCACCAGAUAUCCUCACUAAUCCCAGAAUAUAUACUGAAUUAAUUAAUUCAGUUUUCUACACAUGUGCGAUGUCACAGACAUGAUGUCGUAACAUCGUACAUGACAUGUUGGUCCAGAUGUUGAACUUCUUCAACCCAACAUAUUAAAACAACAGAGAUGAUUACAUUAUUUGUUUUACAAAAUUAAUGCCAAUCC